AACGCACGAGACCUGCGGACCUGCGGAGGGAUCAUUACCGAGUUUACAACUCCCAAACCCCUGUGAACAUACCACUCGUUGCCUCGGCGGAUCACCGCGCCCCGUGAAACGGGCCGGCCCGCCAGAGGACCUAAACUCAAAUGUUUUAUUGUAUCUUCUGAGUAAAAACACAAAUAAAUCAAAACUUUUAGCAAUGGAUCUCU
rnacentral:misc_RNA from 1 species